UUUUUAGUUUCACCCUUCCCUUUUCUCUUAGUCCUCCUUCCCCUUACAACUGAUGCUGGGUAAUUCUUCUAUCAAGCAAAAGGCCAGUAUCUUGCUCUUGAAGCAGCAUUCUGCAUCCUACAGCCUGCUCCACGACUUCCAUUUGUCAGUGCAGUGUUGGCAACGCAACACACAGUGAUAAAAUAUUUUUUUGUUUCGAACCCUAUUUCUCAUUUCCUGCCCCACCCCCACCCCCAUGGGAAACAGGAUGGACUGCUUGCUGAUCACUAAGAGACAACACUUCAGGACCAACCCAUGAAAAGAACAUUCGUACUACAACUUGAAUUUAGAGGACAAUAACGACAGUUUGUAGUAGUCCAAUGGCAGCAAUGAAACCCUCAACAACCAUCAAAUUGGAUCACUGAUGAGGCAAAAAGAUCAUUGGGUCCUCAUUCCUGGGCUAUCCUGCACUGCAUGAUCUGUGAAUAUUUAUCCUUUUUGAGAAGCACAGGAAUUUUGAUUUCCCUGACCAUCCAUCCUCCAUUGGGCUCCAAUGUUUAAAGGGUUGUGCUUUAUGGUACUGCAAAUUUAAGUGGAUAUAGCACGUGUUGACAUGGCAGAGGAAGAAUGAGCCAAGAUGUUAUCAUCUGAGAAGAAAAACAGAAAAAAGAAGAGGGUCUAAUGUCGAACUUCAAAGAACUCCAACAUUUAACAGCAAAAUAAAGUACGUAAAUCAAGUGGAAGAGAGAGGGACUGAGACAUAAGAAGAGUAAGAGGAAAACUGAGUUCACAUUGUGCCACUGGGACUAAAGAGAAUGCUUCUAGAAGGCAGUGGCCAUUGCUGUCUAAUGCUGAGAAGAAACAAAGCAAAAGAAAGUCUGAAGUAUGUUCACUAGAAUUAAGGACCUUAAGUUCACUGAAGUGUCUAGUCAGAUCUUCCAUGAAACAGAGGUCCUAUGCGGAGUAACUCUUUUGGUAAUACUUGCCACAAUCAACUAAACUUUGUUCCUGUGAUUUUUUUGACUUUGUAGCUUCACCAAUAAACUUUAAACUCCCAGAAUGCAGGGACUGCAUUCAAAAUAUCUGUAUUAUUACUAAAAGUUACUAAACCAACAUUAUUAUUCCUUACGAUGGUAUAAAUCAUCAUUAUGUAAGUAGUUUUUCCUUGAUAUUUAGGGACAACUUUCUAACUUCAUUAAGUUUACCCCCCCAAAUCUUUUUAUUUAUGUUGCAAUGUUGUUUUAUACAUAAUGUUUUCUUU